rnacentral:rRNA from 1 species
UACGAAGGGGGCUAGCGUUGUUCGGAAUUACUGGGCGUAAAGCGUGCGCAGGCGGUUUCUCAAGUCAGGUGUGAAAGCCCAGAGCUUAACUCUGGAAUUGCCUUUGAGACUGAGAGGCUUGAGUACGGGAGAGGUGAGUGGAAUUCCCAGUGUAGAGGUGAAAUUCGUAGAUAUUGGGAAGAACACCGGUGGCGAAGGCGGCUCACUGGCCCGUAACUGACGCUCAUGCACGACAGCGUGGGGAUCAAACAGG